rnacentral:pre_miRNA from 1 species
UGAUGAUGAUGAUGAUGAUGAUAGUGAUGGUGGUGAUGGUGAUGGUGAUGGUGGUGAUCAUCAUCAUCAUCAUCAUCAUCAUCAUCAUCAACAUCA